UACGGAGGGUGCAAGCGUUGCUCGGAAUUAUUGGGCGUAAAGGGUAGGUAGGUGGUCUCAUUUGUCUGGGGUGAAAGCCUUGAGCUUAACUCAAGAAGUGCCCCAGAAACGGUGAGACUAGAGUCUUGGAGAGGGUCGUGGAAUUCCCGGUGUAGCGGUGAAAUGCGUAGAGAUCGGGAGGAACACCAGAGGCGAAGGCGGCGACCUGGACGAAGCACUGACACUCAACUACGAAAGCGUGGGGAGCAAACAGGGAUUGAGAU
rnacentral:rRNA from 1 species